rnacentral:rRNA from 1 species
UACGUAGGGGGCAAUCGUUGUCCGGAAUUAUUGGGCGUAAAGCGCGCGCAGGCGGUCUGUUAAGUCUUGUGUUUAAGCCCGGGGCUCAACCCCGGUUCGCAUGGGAAACUGGCAGUACUUGAGUGCAGGAGAGGAAAGCGGAAUUCCACGUGUAGCGGUGAAAUGCGUAGAGAUGUGGAGGAACACCAGUGGCGAAGGCGGCUUUCUGGACUGUAACUGACGCUGAGGCACGAAAGUGUGGGGAUCAAACAGG